AACAAUUAAGAAACAAACCCAAGUGGUUUCGUGUUCAUAUCAUUCAUCAUUAUCAUUUCACAAACAAAUCAGGUCAAAGCAUGUCAUAUAGAACCUCAAAGAAGUCAACAGAAAGAUUCAAGUCAAAUCCAAUCACAAACAUUUCAAAAAAUUCUGAAAUAAUUCAUGAUCAAACAUCAUCCAUAACAUGAUAAGCAUACCAAAUUUCAGCUCAUUUGGAUCAAGGGAAGUAGGUCAAUGAAAAUCAGAUAUUCAAA
rnacentral:lncRNA from 1 species